rnacentral:rRNA from 1 species
AUUGAACGCUGGCGGCAGGCCUAACACAUGCAAGUCGAGCGGAUGAAGGGAGCUUGCUCCUGGAUUCAGCGGCGGACGGGUGAGUAAUGCCUAGGAAUCUGCCUGGUAGUGGGGUAUAACGUCCGGAAACGGGCGCUAAUACCGCAUACGUCCUGAGGGAGAAAGUGGGGGAUCUUCGGACCUCACGCUAUCAGAUGAGCCUAGGUCGGAUUAGCUAGUUGGUGGGGUAAAGGCCUACCAAGGCGACGAUCCGUAACUGGUCUGAGAGGAUGAUCAGUCACACUGGAACUGAGACACGGUCCAGACUCCUACGGGAGGCAGCAGUGGCGAAUAUUGGACAAUGGGCGAAAGCCUGAUCCAGCCAUGCCGCGUGUGUGAAGAAGGUCUUCGGAUUGUAAAGCACUUUAAGUUAGGAGGAAGGGCAGUAAGUUAAUACCUUGCUGUUUUGACGUUACCAACAGAAUAAGCACCGGCUAACUUCGUG